CUGGGUCCCUUCUCUUGACAACCACUUCACCACCAUCUGGUAGUUUCCCUAUAUAAACAACAAAAGAAGGCGCCAUUCCAAUCCUGUUCUCUAUUGAGAAACCAUUGGUUGCAGCAGCAAGCUGAGCCAGAGUAAGUUCCUCUGCUCUGUUUAGUCUCCUUACAAGUGGGUUUGGCCUUUUUUGUGUAGUAUUUACUGAGAGUCUAGAAUACAAUAGACCAAAGGCAAAGAUUAUAGGCCAAACUGA
rnacentral:misc_RNA from 1 species